AGAAAAUGGGUUAUUUCCUUCUUACUUUUUCAUUAAGGCAGUUUACAAUGAAGAAGACAAAAAUUACCCUAUAAAGAAAGAGAGAGAGAGAGAGAGGGAUAUGCAUGCAUCUUUUGCAGAAAAAGGGUAUGAUUGAUUUCAAGAUCUCACCCAAACCAUACACUAGAAAGAGGUAUGUAUUCUUUUUUUCAUUUAAAAUUUAGAAUUUUUUCUAUAUAUACCACACACAAUCAUAUGUUUGUGAUGGUUGUAUCUGCUCUUACAUAUGUUUGCUUUGGCUUUCCUAUGCUUGUUAUUUGCUCUUAAUUAUUUCUGUUCGUGCCAAAAUAACGCAUGCACACACCAUAGAGAAAUAAACAACAUAUCUAGUAAAAUCCCACAAACAGAAUCUCGAAUGGGUAGUGUAUACGCAGACCUUACCUCUUCCUUUGAAAAGAAGGAGAGGCUGUUUCUAAUAGACCCUCGGCUAUCAGAGAGAAAUAAAAAAGAUAUUUAAAGGAAUACCCUAGAGCCUGGCAAAAUGUUCAAUGCUUGAAUAAAAUCAGGGACAAGCAGAAAGAGAGAGCAUUGUAUUUAUACCACUAUAUGAAGAAACAUCUUACAGAAAAUACUAUAAAAGCUUGAGCAGCUGUUAACUGCACGGGGAGAAGGGGGGGGGUGGGGGCUUUUUUUUACAAUUAAACAAUAGACUUGAUAUACUCAUAACCUAAAAUGACCUUAAAAGAAUGAAACCAUCCCCAUAAAUUUGCUAUAAAAAUAGCAGAAAUCAGGAGGGGGUUGGGGGUUUUGGGGGUAGGUAUAAAUAUAAAGAUAUAUAUGCCUUCGACGACGGGGUCCAGCAGCUAUGUACACAAAUUAAUGACUAGAUACGAUAUAGGGUAAGCAAAUCUACCACCAAAAAAGGGGGAAAGAACAAGAACUCAGGCAGAGAUAUCAUGUUGGUUUCCCUGAUCAGUUGAUUUAGUGCCAGAAGACUCAUGCCUGUGCUCCUCUUGACCUUUGGACUUGGCAUCUUCAGACUUUUUCUCCGGGGGUGCAUUACUACCUCCUGUGCCACAAAGUAUGCAAGGAUUUGAAGGUCUUGGAGAGCACCAAUUUUCUGGAACACUUAGGAAAUGUGUGUCGAUAAACUUUCUAAAUCUCUUUUUAUACUCCCUUGGAGAGAGUACAGUAGGAAGCUGAUUCUUGGGGACCACAAGAGAGGAUUUGACCCAAUUUUCAAGUUGCUUGUCCCAUGUAUACUGCCUGAGAUAGUCAAUGAUGCCACAAACAAGUUCACGGCGCUGAGUAUCCACGCCAACAAGUAAAGAGUAGUCCAUCACAUUGACCGACUGUUAUUCAGAAAAUGCUACCAUUUUAGAAGCUAAGCUAUAAAAUUGUAGUACAUGUUUAUCAUAAGCACAAGUCACAAGCAUUUUAGCACUACUAGGAUUUAGUAAAUAUGGCUACAGGUAAUUCAUCAGUAGGAGUUCAUGCAAAACUUACAUUGAGGAAACCACAGUCAUUCCAUACAGCUCGUUGCAAGUUCCUCUUUGAUCUCAUACCAACAUAUAAAGGAGAGAUGUUCAUGUCAUUCACAAAAUUUUGGUCCAAAAGAACAUCUCCUGCACUAUUGCCAGCUGAAUUGAAUCGUGCAUGCAGAGCUCCUUUUAGAUCAUACUGCCUAGUAAUAUUUCUUCCAAAUGAAAGGUUCUCCAUUACCAUGAGAUCAUGCCUCAUCUCUUUCCCAUUUUUUGUUGGCCUUACAAUGACCUGCAAAAACAUAAAUACUGAGACAAAAGUCCAAAAAGAGCAUGUCUACUGUGCUGGCAAGUUGAAGAUCAGUUUUGUGCUAAAGCCAGAAAUGAAGUUAUAGUUGAUUGAUUGAUAAACCUGAUAAAUACCAAAAACUUUUGCGAGGCAGGUGUGAUUGCCCUUUCCGUAGCACUGUUCCAUGUACUCAAAAUAAUUAGGACCAAACUUCAAGAACGAAUCAAAUUCUGUUCUCUGUAUUUCCUUGAUGAUAAACCGGUCAUCGAGAGUUUUGGCAAACAAAGAUUUACUUUUCCCGCCUUUAGCAUCCCACUUCCUACACCUACUUAGUGAAGCAAUAUAAUCAAUUUCAGAUGGGCAACAUCGACCUCGCAAAUGAGAGAAUUCGCUAGCAUAGAGACAGAUAACUGAGUAUUUACGCUUCCCAGGCAAUUUCCCAGAACCCAUGGAGACUUCAGGGUGAUAAGUAGAGAAAGAAACUGAGGAAUUUAACAUAUCUAACCCAUUAAAACUUGAUGAACGUAUUUGUUCUGAAACAUGAGCAGACUGAAUCCCUUCAAAAUCCAAAGAACUGCUUGAGAAAUGAGGAGGAGCAAGUGAGAAUAAUCGCAUUAAGCCUUGAGAACUUUCAUUUGCCUUUUCAUCAGUUCCUCUAUCUUUUCUUCCAUCGUCUCCAAGAUCUUCACACACAACGGCUAAAUCCUUCAGCGAUGCUAAAGCGCAAGCGAUGAUGCUAGAAAAUUCAUUUUCAUAAUCAGACACAAUGUACUUAUCACUUCUGAGGGGAAUAUGCAGCCUUGCACCCUCAUCAGUAACAAGUUUAUAAGCUGUAGUUUCUACAGCAUGGGUUGUGAUGGAUCCUAAUUUUGGCAGGUAACCUCUCUGCAGAUCCUUCAUGUAUUCAUGCCGAAUUUCAGGAAAUGGAGCCCACCACCCCUUAUCAUUUUCAAUAUUGGACAAUAGUGAGGCAAGGGAUCUACUCCUUUGAGGAUUCAUAAUACCAUUUGCAGUCCUCGCAUCAGCUCUAGAAAGAUUCGGUUUUUCCAACUGCAAAUGCGUAGAAAGAUUGGAUUGUAGAUUAUUUUCAUCAACAGAGUGUAAGCAAUUAAAUUUCACUGCAGAAUCCUCAAUGGAUGAUCCAUUUCCAGUUAUUUUUGCUGCAGUUGAUAACUCAGUAACUUCACUGAAGGCAGAUGAAUUCAAUGGUCCAUUUUGUUCUGUAAAUCCACUAACAUUAGCAUCAACAGGAACUUCUACAAUUAAAGAACCAUUUGCUUCGGUAGAUACCAAAUUCAAUUUCACAUCACAAUUAUGGUUCAAAUAUUCACCACAACUUUCUCUAAUAGUUUCCAUCCCAUUGUUUUCCUCUGCAGAAGAAUCCGCAGCAAACUCAAUAUUCAGAUCAUGACAAUCUUCCAAAUCUUUGUCACCUCUUCCCAGAUUUGCUUCUGCCCCACUAGCAUCUCCUUCGACACUGCACUUUCCUUGUUGCUCCUUGUGGCUAAUAGGUUCAAUAUCUGGCAGUGUUGAUUGUUUUGGAUUAAUGGCUUUGGAAUCACCAUCUAUAUUAUAAGAAGAUAGCAGUGAAUGAAGACGGCGAUCCCAC
rnacentral:lncRNA from 1 species